CCGCAGCGUCUUUCCUUCUCUCUCAUCACUUUGAGGCUUUGUAUGGUUUUUGAUCUGUCAACGAUCAGCAAAGGCAUGGAAGAAGCAUCAAAUGAUGAGUGAAAGUGCAAUAAUACGGUCGAUGCAUUCAGGAUUUGCUAUCUUCUUCGUUUAGAAUUUAUAUUCUCUUUUUGACCUUUUUUCCCAUUUGUUUCUCUUUGUGGGUGGAUAUGAUGAGUAAACCUCUUGGUCUGUGGUUCUGAUUAACCAUGACAGACACCAAUCGCUGAUAACCUCUGAUCUCCCCCAGAUUUUAAAACCUUAACAAAUUUUUAUUUCAGUGUUGGUUAAAACCCUAAUUUUUCUGGUUUGAUUUCGAUUUCUUUUCCAAUAUGAAACUAAGUAGAAAAACACUAAUUUUUCUGGUUUGAUUUCAAUUUCUUUCCCUUUUUUUUCGACUUCAGAGAUUUUGGGAAAGAAAUCUCAGAGGCGAAAAAUUGAUUAAUCUUUUACAAUAGUUCGGAAUCGGUUUGAUCGAUAACCUGGAAUUGCGGGAACUGCCGAUUCGUUGAUUUUUUCUAUUUAGUAUUGAUAUUAACUUUGUUUUUCAAAACUCGUUUUGGAUCGUUUCUAGCCUUGUUAACUCUGAAUAUUGCGCAGUCCGUUAACGAGUUUAUAACCUCUAGUUGUCUCCACUCAGUCGCCUGCCAUUCUGCAAAUAUUUGAGGUUAAGUUUGUCUGCAAAAUGUCGGCCAAACUUCACAUUCUCAAGCUAAAAAAUGAGGGUUUAGUGGCCCUCAAUGCAACGACUAGGAGAGUCUGCAUCUUCCCCAGCAAUGAGUAUCGGAUGACUGGGAGCAUCUAAUCACAGGCCUUAAGGGUUCUGAACCUCCCAAUGUUCACUGUAUCGAUUACAUCGACUAUGAGAGGGUAGGAGAGAGAAUUGUACUGCCUAGAUGGUUCUUAGCCUUCGAGUGUAAUUUAACUUUUUUCACUUUAGAAACCUUAUUGAAUUACUUUACCAACUAAAGCAAAAUCUUAUCGCAUAAAGGCAACUCCAUUACUUUCUAAUAGGUCAGAUCAAUAUCAAUAUGCCAAAAAAAAAAAAAAAAAAUCAAUAUCAAACCCAUGUUCUGCCCAUGUAGUUCUCAUUUUAUUAGAUCAGCGGAUCUAAACCACGAGGUAGCCCAUGUUACUUUGGAAUCUUUUGAGGGGCAUCAUUUUUGAGAUAAACUUUUAGCAUGGAAAAUUUUACCCCCCCCCCCAAAAAAAAAAGAAAAAGAAAAAGAAAAUAUGGGAUGGAAAUGAUAUGGCUUCCUGAUUAUUGAAUGUAGAGGCUAUGAGUUGCAGCUUGUAAUGAUCAAGAUGAAGAGAGAGGUUUAUAUGAUACAUUUAUCGGUUUAUGUUGGAUUAAACCAAUUUGAAAAAAAAAAAAAAAAAUCCAACCCAAUCUUGGAUUGUUAUUUUGAAUUUCAAAAUCUGAAACCCACCCUAGGUGUUACAUGCUCUCAUUGAUCUCUCUUACAUGUUCUCUCUCUCUCUCUCUCUCUCUCUCCUCUUCUCUUCUCUUCUGGUGAACAAUAUUCGAUCCGUUGUGGUUGAUUCCAAACUAACUGAUGUGGCUGAUUCCAAACUAAAAACGCACUUGCAAUUGGUUUAAAGAGUGAACUCUUUCUAGUUAACAGUAUUCGUUCUCUUAUGGUGAACAAUAUUCUCUCUCUCUCUCUCUCUCUCUCUCUCUCUUCUAGUUAACAGUAUAUAUAUGUGUAUAUAUAUAUAUAUUUUUAACAGAUUAUAGAGGAAUUUAUCAUCUGUGUAGCAAAAAUUUCAAAUAGGUUUUCUCUUUUCUUCAUCUCGAUCUGUCUUGGUUCCCAUAUGUGUAUUAGUUUUCAAAUAUGCUAAAUAGGUUUGUAAGUCUAUAAAUCCAAUUAUUAUGUAAUGUUUGAGACCAGAGUGUUCAAUAACAAGUACACUUGUGUUUGGUAUCAAAGCCAUGAUAUUGCCGCCCAUGAGGUGUCACUAGCAUCUGUCUGAAGGAUCCUUUUUCCUGCAGAUGGAAUCUGGAGAGGUGGGAGAGACUGAACAAUCUUCUUUAUUUGCUUUACUACAGAAGUAUUCUGCAUUGACCAUUGGGGGGCAUUAUUUUUGAAUAGGCCAUAGAGGGUCUCUGUGAGUUUAGCCUUCUAUGAGAUGAACUCAGAUAUGUAAUUGACAAUGCCGAGGAUUGCUCACUGCAUUGGACCUUGGUCAUGAGGUGCAGGACCCAGACAUCACAUAUCUAAUGACCAUGCACCACGGGUUUUUGCUUGGACAUGAUUUCCUUCAGAAUAACCAAUGGGAUAGUGACAGUGGUUCAGACACUGAUUAAAGCAGAAAUAAUUAAAGUACUUUAAUUAUUUUGUGUGUCGUGUACCUUUCCUAUUUUGUUUUUAGUCCAGAUGUAUAAGAAUCAUCUGUGUUUGAAGAAGAGGAGUGCUUGGUAUGGAAAAGAGGCCAAAGAGGAAUUUUGUGGUGGCUGUACAGUAAGGGCUUAGAGGAAGUUUGUAAGAGUAUUUGGGUUCUAUGGUGGCUGAAUUAUAUUGCAUCCGGAGGUAGACUGAACAUCUUUAGAUGUUGUGACAAUAUGCAUGAGUUCCAUGUGAAGCUGCUCAAUUUUGCUCUUGAGAUAACGGAUAUCUCCUUUGAACUGGAGGAGCUGUAGAGAGCCAACUUCCUUCCCUCCGAUGGAGCCCAAAAGGUCUUACUUUCAAAAGGCAGCUUCUUCCAUGGACUACAGUCCCACGACUGUUCUCUGCUAUUCCUUUGGAAGAUAUCCACCAACAGUUGCUGAAGGAUUGCUGUGCUGAGUCCCACUCUGAAUUUCUUGCAAAGUGUUCCGCUCCCUUAUGGUAUAAUCCUGAAUAUUUCAUCAAAUUCCUAUGUUGGGAAGAGCUUAAUUUUUACUGGUUGUUUGGACACAAGGUCAACAAUGAAAAUUUGGCCAUUAGUAGCUAGAAACUGUUGCUUACAAGGUUUCCAAUUGUGGGAAGGAAGAAUAUGGGGGCCAUGAUAGUGAGGAGUGAGGACUGCUCUUGUAUCAAAGUAGGCAAUAACCUUCACAAGCCGAUCCCAACUAGUUGGUUGGACAUAAACUGGGGCCAGGGUACAGUGUACCAAGAUAUUCAGGUCAGAGAACUGCAUCAAUCAAAUGCCAUAAUAAUUUAGUGCUA